GAUGAACGCUAGCUACAGGCUUAACACAUGCAAGUCGAGGGGAAACGACAUCGAAAGCUUGCUUUUGAUGGGCGUCGACCGGCGCACGGGUGAGUAACGCGUAUCCAACCUGCCCACCACUUGGGGAUAACCUUGCGAAAGUAAGACUGAUACCCAAUGACGUCUCUAGAAGACAUCUGAAAGAGAUUAAAGAUUUAUCGGUGAUGGAUGGGGAUGCGUCUGAUUAGCUUGUUGGCGGGGUAACGGCCCACCAAGGCGACGAUCAGUAGGGGUUCUGAGAGGAAGGUCCCCCACAUUGGAACUGAGACACGGUCCAAACUCCUACGGGAGGCAGCAGUGAGGAAUAUUGGUCAAUGGGCGAGAGCCUGAACCAGCCAAGUAGCGUGCAGGAUGACGGCCCUAUGGGUUGUAAACUGCUUUUAUAAGGGAAAAAAGUGAGUCUCGUGAGACUUUUUGCAUGUACCUUAUGAAUAAGGACCGGCUAAUUCCGUGCCAGCCGCCGCCGUAA
rnacentral:rRNA from 1 species